AGAGUUUGAUCCUGGCUCAGAACGAACGCUGGCGGCAGGCUUCAUACAUGCAAGUCGAACGCGAAAGCUCCUUCGGGAGCGAGUAGAGUGGCGAACGGGUGCGUAACAGGUGGAUAAUCUACCUUCCGGUGGGGGACAACGGCUGGAAACGGCCGCUAAUACCGCAUACGAUGAUCUUGCUGCGGCGAGAUUAGGAAAGGGGCAAUUGCUCCGCCGGAUGAUGAGUCCGCCCCCCAUUAGCUUGUUGGUAGGGUAACGGCCUACCAAGGCUUCGAUGGGUAGCCGAGCUGAGAGGUUGAUCGGCCACACUGGAACUGAGACACGGUCCAGACACCUACGGGUGGCAGCAGUAGGGAAUAUUGCGCAAUGGGCGAAAGCUUGACGCAGCCAUGCCGCGUGGAUGAUGAAGGCCUUCGGGUCGUAAAGUCCUUUUCUGAGGGAAGAACAAGCCGGGGAGUGGAAAGCCCUGGCCCUGACGGUACCUCAGGAAUAAGCAACGGCUAGCUCCGUGCCAGCAGCCGCGGUAAUACGGAGGUUGCGAGCGUUGUUCGGAUUUACUGGGCGUAAAGGGAGCGCAGGCGGCCAGGUCAGUCUGAAGUGAAAGCCCGGGGCUCAACCCCGGAAGGGCUUCGGAUACUGCCUGGCUUGA
rnacentral:rRNA from 1 species